GAGUUUGAUUAUGGCUCAGGAUGAACGCUAGCGAUAGGCUUAACACAUGCAAGUCGAGGGGCAUCACGGGAUUAGCUUGCUAAUCUUGGUGGCGACCGGCGUAAGGGUGCGUAACGCGUAUGCAACUUGCCUGUCAGUGGGGAAUAACCCGGAGAAAUCCGGACUAAUACCGCAUACACUUUGGUUUCCGCAUGGGGGCUUUAGGAAAGAUUUAUUGCUGACAGAUAGGCAUGCGUUCCAUUAGAUAGUUGGUGAGGUAACGGCUCACCAAGUCGACGAUGGAUAGGGGAGCUGAGAGGCUUAUCCCCCACACUGGAACUGAGACACGGUCCAGACUCCUACGGGAGGCAGCAGUGAGGAAUAUUAGUCAAUGGGCGAGAGCCUGAACCAGCCAAGUCGCGUGAAGGAAGACGGUCCUAUGGAUUGUAAACUUCUUUAGUAGGUGAGUACAAGCAGUUACGUGUAGCUGUAAGCAAGUACCUAGAUAAU
rnacentral:rRNA from 1 species